CCGCUGGGUGGAGCGCGCAGGCGCAAAGCGGGACCGCGGGGGCCGACGGGAAACGUAGGCCGCGCUGCGGGCACGAAACCGCAGAGCGAACGAUUCUAACGCAAACGCAACCGAGCAGCUGCGGGCGCUCGGAACGCGGCCUUCGCCUCUGUGCCCCGCAGGGAACGCAGCCCUGCCGGAGGUGCUGCUCGGCAGAGCUUAAGGCACAGCUCAGAGCUGGGCGUCCAACUGCAGGCGGUGCUUUAACACAGCCGGUAGCGGCCUGGGCUGCAGCCAGGUUUAAGCUGCGCAUUUUGCCUCUAAUUCCAGCACCAAGCAGUGCGAGGAGCAGCCAAACGCUGCUUCACAAAGCCUCAAAGCUCAGCACGCAGCAAGGAGAACAGCCCGGCUCGGGACAGUGGAGAGCUGUGCUGGUUUGUGUGCCUCAAACAGCCAGGUGAAAAAGGAGACGGCGCUAGGAAGGAGCCAGCACAGCGUGUUACCCCACAGCCACCCCAGGACCAGCACACAGUGUCUCCAUCCUUACACCCUACAGAAGAAUCAUUUCUGAAGAGCUGCCACCUGGUGAGCUCUGCAGUUUCAGUUUCACCUCACCACGUGUGGGCAGCUCUAAAGGGCAUCAGGAUACCAGACCUUACAAGGGCACUGAAUGCCUUUGUUUUUUUAAGUCUAUCUAGAAUUCAGGAAAGUAAGCAGCACGUGCAUCCAUGUAUUAGAAGAGGGAGGGAAAGGCUUUGGCAAUAAGAUAAAGAAGUUGUCAAAAAUAUUCCUGUGCAAUAAAGUUUCUCCUCUUUCACUCAAGCUGCAUUGCAGAAUUCUGCUAACCAAGGAAAGCCUGACCAGGAGCAGAGAUCUCCAGCCUGACAGUCUGGAUUUCCUCACAGAACGGACAGCUUUCAUCAGCCAGCGUGAUCUGGCUGGAGAUGACGUAGCAAAAAUUUCUGUGCAGCAAUACAACUUUGGCCCCUGCCACACAUCUUUUUAUAGCCCUUCCAGUUUUCAUUUUCCAUUCAAAAACAGUGCUGCAUUGUUUCCCCCAGCUCACCCAGCCAUCCCCAAUGGGCUCAGCACAGACCUGCACCCCACACGGUGUCCCAGCUGGCAGGCAGCCCCAACCCUGCUCCAAAAGUCCCUCAAACUGUGCCAUUGCUACCUCUGGAGACCUCAGUGUUUUACAGCAUUGACUGUAAGCCUCUCUGCAGACCCCCUCUCCUCCAAAGCACCACAGUGCACAGGAGCCAUAAAGCUCUACAUGCUGCUGCAAACUUAUACCUGGUUGUUGCUUUCUUUUCCCCACGCUCAUUGCUUCUACCUAUUAACCCUCACCAUUCCUUGAAUUCCUAAGGCAGGUACAAUCUCUCAGCUUCACAUACUUGCUGUUAACACACAACUGCCUAUACACAACACCACAUCCACUAUCAAAUAUGCCAGAGCACAUAAAGGGAGACCUCUGAGCACACAAAGACUUGAGACCAGUUUGGUAAACAUCAUGAAAGCAGUGGCAACCAAGAGAUACAGCAACAAGAGCCCCCUGCUGAUACUGCUGCUGGAUACAGCUGCAUUUCUUCCACAUCCUGGUUCAGAGCUUCACCAGAUGCUGUAACAAAAAGCAGUAAUCACACACAUCAGUGGCCACUGCGGCUUCAGAAGAUACAAGACUCAUCUGUACUCUCAUCUAUAUUUAGCUUUAAACCAGACAAGCUGCGACAACAAGAGACCUUUGCCGUGUUCACUGCUCUUCUAAUAGCCCUCUUUAGCAUUAGGGAAAGUGUCCAGUCAUGGUAACAAAGGCACUGCUCAGCUGUGACAGUCAGAACUUCCCAGCUGGUGAUUAUUCUGGAAAUGCUUGCCAGAAAGGGCAGAAAAAAGAGCAAAGCCCUUAAAGGGAGCCACACGCAGGUAAUUAGCACCGAGGCUGGAAGAGCUCAGGGACCUUCCUGUCCCACUAACAGCUCCUGAGCUACACAACCUGCAUUUUCUUUGUCACAGGUCAACGGCUGUUUUAACUUGCCUGAAACAAGCAGGCCGUGAACGUGCUGCUCGCUAGAAGAGCUGACUGAUCCGUGUCAGAAGUAACAUUACUUGUUUGAAAACCACAUUAACGACUGCAGUUGAGUCACUUGAUGCAGACGCUCAUAAUUGCAGGGACGACGUGCGUUGUUUGCUCUCACACUGGAGUCUCCUCCAUAGUCAUCCUCCACCUCUCGAGGUCACACUUCUACUGCUGCUCGUGCUGGGGGAGAACUGAUUUAUUCUGUUAUGGAAGUGAGGGACACGUACUGCUACUGACACAAUAAUAUGGCGUUCUGAAUCAA